rnacentral:lncRNA from 1 species
AACACGGAACAGCACACUCCUCCCAGCCUUCCUUCUUCUGACACCGUUUUCCUUUAGAAGAUCUCAAACUACAAGUCAGGACAUGACACGGGGAGCGUCCCAGGCACACGCGGCCUCUGCUGUUUGAUUUCUGACGUGAGUCUAUAGGUGAAGCUGACAGGUUUCAGAUGGAAGAGGCAGGGCAGAUGCCUUUCAAGAGAGGCGCGUUAUCUGGGUCAAUCUAUCAAGGGUGCGUCCUGGGAGACGACGGGCCGCCUUUGUAGAACGCCACGGCACGGGGGCUCCCACGCUGGGCGCACACCCCGGCUGGCUGACAGGCGGCCCCCGUUUCACCGUGAUCACGAAUAAAAGCCA